rnacentral:tRNA from 1 species
GCACAGCUCAAUGGUAGAGUACUUACCUAACAUGCAGGAGGCCCUGGUUUAAUCCCUAACAAUGUGCA